GUUCUUGGGGCAGAUAUAUAUUCCUGAUAUUAAUUGGAUUCUUAUGGUUCUUUGCAUUGCCGUUACUGCUGGAUUUAAAAAUCAAAGCCAAAUAGGCAAUGCUUACGGAACAGCAGUGGUGAUAGUCAUGCUGGUGACGACAUUGCUCAUGACUUUGAUAAUGUUACUAGUAUGGCACUGCCAUUGGGUUGUUGUCCUUAUCUUCACUGUCUUAUCUCUGGUGGUUGAAUGUACCUACUUCUCAGCAGUACUUUUUAAGCUUGACCAGGGUGGUUGGGUUCCCCUCGUGAUUGCUGCAGCUUUUCUUGUCAUCAUGUAUGUAUGGCAUUAUGGAACAGUGAAACGCUAUGAAUUUGAGAUGCACAGCAAGGUAUCUAUGGCAUGGAUUCUGGGGCUUGGCCCCAGUUUAGGAUUGGUACGUGUGCCAGGAAUUGGACUCGUGUACACCGAGCUAGCUAGUGGAGUGCCUCACAUCUUUUCUCACUUCAUUACCAACCUACCUGCUAUACACUCAGUUGUGGUAUUUGUGUGUGUAAAGUACCUUCCUGUUUAUACAGUUCCAGAAGAUGAAAGAUUCCUUGUGAAACGGAUAGGACCCAGGAAUUAUCACAUGUUCCGAUGUGUUGCUAGGUAUGGUUACAAAGACCUCCAUAAGAAGGAUGAUGACUUUGAGAAAAAGCUUUUCGAUAAUCUCUUUAUGUUUGUCCGGCUGGAUUCGAUGAUGGAUGGCUGCUCGGACUCUGAUGAAUACAGCUUAUAUGGACAGCAAACACAACAUUCAAGAGAUUAUAAUGGGAACUCAUCAACUGCAAAUAUUGAACUCAGUUAUUCAUCAAUGGACUCGAUAGCCCCCGCCAAAUGUCAUCCUCAGGGAAACAGCACAAUCACAUCAUCAGGCCACGAGAGCAGCCAGACCGAAGUAGAUGAACUGGAAUUCUUAAACAGUUGUAGAGAUGCUGGGGUUGUACACAUACUUGGAAACACUGUAAUUAGAGCAAGAAGGGAAUCCAGGAUUUAUAAGAAACUUGCUAUAGACUAUAUAUAUGCAUUCCUUAGGAAAAUAUGCAGGGAAAAU
rnacentral:misc_RNA from 1 species